CAGUCGCCGCGGUAAUGCGAGGGGGGCAAGCGUUGUUCGGAAUUAUUGGGCGUAAAGGGUGCGUAGGCGGCUUGACAAGUCUUGUGUGAAAUCUAUGGGCUCAACCCAUAGUCUGCACGGGAAACUGUCGGGCUUGAGAAUGGGAGAGGUGAGUGGAAUUUCCGGUGUAGCGGUGAAAUGCGUAGAUAUCGGAAGGAACACCUGUGGCGAAAGCGGCUCACUGGACCAUUUCUGACGCUGAUGCACGAAAGCUAGGGGAGCAAACAGGAUUAGAUACCCGCGUAGUCCCUGUCUCUUAUAC
rnacentral:rRNA from 1 species